rnacentral:rRNA from 1 species
UACGAAGGGGGCUAGCGUUGCUCGGAAUCACUGGGCGUAAAGGGCGCGUAGGCGGCGUUUUAAGUCGGGGGUGAAAGCCUGUGGCUCAACCACAGAAUGGCCUUCGAUACUGGGACGCUUGAGUAUGGUAGAGGUUGGUGGAACUGCGAGUGUAGAGGUGAAAUUCGUAGAUAUUCGCAAGAACACCGGUGGCGAAGGCGGCCUUCUGGACAGUGACUGACGCUGAGACGCGAAAGCGUGGGGAGCAAACAGG